UACCAUACAUACCACUACUACCAUCUAAUUUGAUCAUCAUGUUGAUGACCCAUAUUCAUACUCCAUUCCCGAAGGUAUCCCACCAACAAGAUAAUACCAAAGGUGAGGAUAAAGAAGAAAGCGUAAACACACGAUCCAAUGCAGUUAAAGAAGUGAAGAGAUCGUGCCCACAAUUUACGAUGUAGGAGGUAACUUCCUUGAUAGUUGCCUUCUCUAGUGCCAGUAACAUUUCACGACAUCCUAUAAAUACAAGAAGGCAAUCAACACAAAAAAAAAAGAAAUAAAAAAUCAUCAAUCAAACACUGCCCAAUUUAUCUUUCAUCAUAGUCAUAGUCUUUUUAGUGUGGAGCUCUCUCCGAACCUCCAUAGA
rnacentral:lncRNA from 1 species